CGCGUAGGCGGUCUUCUAUGUCAGGUGUGAAAGCCCGGGGCUCAACCCCGGAAGUGCAUUUGAAACUGGGAGACUUGAGUAUGGGAGAGGGAAGUGGAAUUCCUGGUGUAGCGGUGAAAUGCGUAGAUAUCAGGAGGAACACCGGUGGCGAAGGCGACCACCUGGACGAUGACUGACGCUGAGGCGCGAAAGCGUGGGGAGCAAACA
rnacentral:rRNA from 1 species